rnacentral:rRNA from 1 species
CAGUAGCCACGGUAAUACGGAGGGUGCAAGCGUUAAUCGGAAUUACUGGGCGUAAAGCGUGCGUAGGCGGUUCGUUAAGUCUGUUGUGAAAGCCCCGGGCUCAACCUGGGAAUGGCAAUGGAUACUGGCGAGCUAGAGUGUGUCAGAGGAUGGUGGAAUUCCCGGUGUAGCGGUGAGAUGCGUAGAGAUCGGGAGGAACAUCAGUGGCGAAGGCGGCCAUCUGGGACAACACUGACGCUGAGGCACGAAAGCGUGGGGAGCAAACAGGAUUAGAUACCCCAGUAGUCCCUGUCUCUUAUCC